rnacentral:rRNA from 1 species
UACGAGGGGAGCUAGCGUUGUUCGGAAUCACUGGGCGUAAAGCGCACGUAGGCGGAUUUGUCAGUCAGGGGUGAAAUCCCGGGGCUCAACCUCGGAACUGCCUCCAAAACUACAAGUCUGGAGCAAGAUAGAGGCAAGUGGAAUUGCGAGUGUAGAGGUGAAAUUCGUAGAUAUUCGCAGGAACACCAGUGGCGAAGGCGACUUGCUGGAUCUUUGCUGACGCUGAGACGCGAAAGCGUGGGGAGCAAACAGG